UCUCCGUAGGUGAACCUGCGGAAGGAUCAUUAUUGUAUAACAGAGCUGAUAGGGCUGUCGCUGACUCUAUAGCUCGUGCAUCCCCGAGUGCCCUCACACACAUUCAUCUCACCCCUAUGUGGACCACCGGGUGGGACCCGCCUUGGCAUGUUCGGGGGGGGGCUUACGUUUUUAAACAUACUAUGAAUGCAGUGUAGAAUGUAUUUUUUGUUUUUGAGAUAACGCAACCAAUACAACUUUCAAUAAAGGAUCUUUUCGAACUCGCAUCGAUGAAGCACG
rnacentral:misc_RNA from 1 species